AGCUCGGGGGAAGCGUCUCCGUCGCCAUGACGACCCGGCUCGCCCGCGCCUGCGCACUGCGCGGAGGCGGGGGGGCGAGCCCUCCGUCGCCAUGACAACCCCAGCCUACCGGUGCCUGUCCCAGCCAAUCCCAUAAUUCUCCGCUCCCGAGCGCUUAGGACAGUGCUCUGCACAAAGUGAGCGCUCAAGAAAGACGACUGACCUUCAUCGUGCGCCCAGAGGAUCCUCGGAUACCACCGGUGGAUCGGGAGGGGCGGCAGUCGGACCGCUACAGGAAGGAAGAGGCGUUCAGGCCGAAAACCUCCAAGUGAGGGUGACAUAAAGUGGUUUGAUUGAUA